UAUGACUUAGAAAUGGCACAAAUUAAAGACGUAUAAUUGUAACAAUAAUUAUAUCUUUUUUAAGAGAAUAAUUUCAAUAAUAGAAACAUUCUUGUCGUGCCCAGAGUUUUCAAAAUAAAAAUUCUAAAGGAUCACCAAAUAUAUACACGCCUCCACAAAUCAGGCCCCAAACAAUAUCCCCCAAUGAGCCCCAUUUUUCUCCCACCAAGAAAGUCUGUAGCCCUCAACAACAAGAAACCAAGAACAGAGCUUUUCCACGUCUCGAUCAUUACCCAAAGUGUUCAUUCCACAAAGACAUGCGUUUCCCCUAUCUCAGAGACACAAGAGACCAAGGGCUCACGGUACGUACGCAGUAGAGACGAGCCUACUAGAAGGGAUGGAGAAGGGGCAGAUCCCACGGGAUAUAAAUGCCGGCAGGGUGUUUCUUUGGAUCGUGGCCGGCUACGUAGAUUCAAUCACGACCCUUCCUAUACCGAGUGACCUCGCGGCUCGAAUACCAAACAGAUCUUUCGUCCACGGUAUUAGAACGUCCCGACGUCUUUGAUCGUGACAUGAAUCCUUGCCAAAAUUUCACCUUCUCUCGCUCCUACAACCUGAACGUACUG
rnacentral:misc_RNA from 1 species